rnacentral:rRNA from 1 species
AAUUGAAGGGUUUGAUCCUGGCUCAGAAUGAACGUUGGCGGCAUGGAUUAGGCAUGCAAGUCGAGCGAGAAGUUGUAGUUUGAAGCUUCGGUUGAUGACUAUGACGGACAGCGGCGCAAGGGAGAGUAACGCGUAGUUAUCUGCCCCCGAGUUCGGGAUAGCCACGGGAAACUGUGAGUAAUACCGAAUAAUAUCUCCGGAUCAAAGGUGUGAUUCCGCUUGGGGAGGAGACUGCGUACUACUAGCUUGUUGGUGGGGUAAUGGCCUACCAAGGCUUUGAUGGUUAGCG